rnacentral:rRNA from 1 species
UGGAGAGUUUGAUCCUGGCUCAGAGUGAACGCUGGCGGCGUGCUUAACACAUGCAAGUCGAACGAUGAUUAAGGGCUUGCUCUUAUGAUUAGUGGCGCACGGGUGAGUAAUGUAUAGCUAACGUGCCCCAUAGAGGGGGAUAACAGUUGGAAACGACUGCUAAUACCCCAUACUCCUUCUUCCUAUAAGGGAAGUCGGGAAAGUUUUUUCGCUAUGGGAUCGGGCUAUAUGAUAUCAGCUUGUUGGUGAGGUAACGGCUCACCAAGGCUAUGACAUCUAACUGGUCUGAGAGGAUGAUCAGUCACACUGGAACUGAGACACGGUCCAGACUCCUACGGGAGGCAGCAGUGGGGAAUAUUACACAAUGGAGGAAACUCUGAUGUAGCAACGCCGCGUGGAGGAUGACACAUUUCGGUGCGUAAACUCCUUUUAUACAGGAAGAUAAUGACGGUACUGUAUGAAUAAGCUCCGGCUAACUCC